AUGAACGCUGGCGGCGUGCCUAACACAUGCAAGUCGAACGGAGUUCUUAAGGAAUGCGACUUCGGUCAAAUGACUUUUGAACUUAGUGGCGGACGGGUGAGUAACGCGUGAGCAACCUGCCUUUCAGAGGGGGAUAACAUUUGGAAACAGAUGCUAAUACCGCAUAAGAUUACAGUACCGCAUGAUACAGUGAUCAAAGGAGCAAUCCGCUGAAAGAUGGGCUCGCGUCCGAUUAGAUAGUUGGUGAGGUAACGGCUCACCAAGUCGACGAUCGGUAGCCGGACUGAGAGGUUGAACGGCCACAUUGGGACUGAGACACGGCCCAGACUCCUACGGGAGGCAGCAGUGGGGAAUAUUGCACAAUGGGCGAAAGCCUGAUGCAGCAACGCCGCGUGAGGGAAGACGGUUUUCGGAUUGUAAACCUCUGUUUUCGGUGACGAACAAAUGACGGUAACCGAGUAGGAAGCCACGGCUAACUACGUGCCAGCAGCCGCGGUAAUACGUAGUGGCAAGCGUUAUCCGGAAUUACUGGGUGUAAAGGGAGCGCAGGCGGGAUAGCAAGUCAGCUGUGAAAACUAUGGGCUCAACCCAUAAACUGCAGUUGAAACUGUUAUUCUUGAGUGGAGUAGAGGCAAGCGGAAUUCCGAGUGUAGCGGUGAAAUGCGUAGAUAUUCGGAGGAACACCAGUGGCGAAGGCGGCUUGCUGGGCUCUAACUGACGCUGAGGCUCGAAAGUGUGGGGAGCAAACAGGAUUAGAUACCCUGGUAGUCCACACUGUAAACGAUGAUUGCUAGGUGUGGGGGGUCUGACCCCCUCCGUGCCGGAGUUAACGCAAUAAGCAAUCCACCUGGGGAGUACGGCCGCAAGGUUGAAACUCAAAUGAAUUGACGG
rnacentral:rRNA from 1 species